rnacentral:rRNA from 1 species
UACAGAGGUCUCAAGCGUUGUUCGGAUUCAUUGGGCGUAAAGGGUGUGUAGGUGGCGCCGUAAGUCGGGUGUGAAAUUUCGGAGCUUAACUCCGAAACUGCAUUCGAUACUGCGGUGCUUGAGGACUGGAGAGGAGACUGGAAUUCAUGGUGUAGCAGUGAAAUGCGUAGAGAUCAUGAGGAAGACCAGUGGCGAAGGCGGGUCUCUGGACAGUUCCUGACGCUGAGGAGCGAAAGCGUGGGGAGCAAACAGG